rnacentral:SRP_RNA from 1 species
GCCGGGCGAGGUGGCGGCGCCUGUAGUCCCAGCUACUUGGAGGCUGAGGCAGGAGAAUGGUGUGAACCCGGGAGGCGGAGCUUGCGGUGAGCCGAGAUCGCGCCACCGCACUCCAGCACUCCAGCCUGGGCGACACAGCGAGACUCCGUCUCAAAAAAAAAAAAAAAAAGACAGAGUCUCACUCUGUCGUCCAGGCUGGAGUGCAGUGGCGCAAUCUCAGCUCACUGCAAGCUCUGCCUCCUGGGUUCAUGCCAUUCUCCUGCCUCCU